rnacentral:lncRNA from 1 species
ACAGAGAAUAACUAAUGGAAUAAUUAAAAUAGAUAAAAUUGAGAGAUGAAGAGAAGGAGAGACAACAAAAAUAAAUAAAUAACGUAAAUGUAAAGAGAUAAGGGAAUAGAGAAAUGAAAUAAGGAUUUAUACAAGUUUGAUCGAACCGCGUGGCCUACUCAUAUCCCCAAGAGUUUCCUCUUGAGAGUCUCCACUAUAAUCAUAUGUGAGAUUUUUCACAGGUUACGCCCACGAACCUCCUUACAACCAACAUGAUAUUUUACACGGGUUAAUCACCAAAUUAAACAUGUGAUUUUACACUAGU